GACGAACGCUGGCGGCGUGCUUAACACAUGCAAGUCGAACGGAAAGGCCCUGCUUUUGUGGGGUGCUCGAGUGGCGAACGGGUGAGUAACACGUGAGUAACCUGCCCUUGACUUUGGGAUAACUUCAGGAAACUGGGGCUAAUACCGGAUAGGAGCUCCUGCUGCAUGGUGGGGGUUGGAAAGUUUCGGCGGUUGGGGAUGGACUCGCGGCUUAUCAGCUUGUUGGUGGGGUAGUGGCUUACCAAGGCUUUGACGGGUAGCCGGCCUGAGAGGGUGAACGGCCACCGUGGGACUGGGAUACGGCCCAGACCCCUACGGGAGGCAACAGUUGGGAAUAUUGCACAAUGGGCGGAAGCCUGAUGCAGCAACGCCGCGUGCGGGAUGACGGCCUUCGGGUUGUAAACCGCUUUCGCCUGUGACGAAGCGUGAGUGACGGUAAUGGGUAAAGAAGCACCGGCUAACUACGUG
rnacentral:rRNA from 1 species